rnacentral:rRNA from 1 species
AGAGUUUGAUCCUGGCUCAGGACGAACGCUGGCGGCACGCUUAACACAUGCAAGUCGAACGAGAGAAGAGAAGCUUGCUUUUCUGAUCUAGUGGCGGACGGGUGAGUAACACGUGAGCAAUCUGCCUUUCAGAGGGGGAUACCGAUUGGAAACGAUCGUUAAUACCGCAUAACAUAAUUGAACCGCAUGAUUUGAUUAUCAAAGAUUUAUCGCUGAAAGAUGAGCUCGCGUCUGAUUAGCUAGUUGGUAAGGUAACGGCUUACCAAGGCGACGAUCAGUAGCCGGACUGAGAGGUUGAUCGGCCACAUUGGGACUGAGACACGGCCCAGACUCCUACGGGAGGCAGCAGUGGGGAAUAUUGCACAAUGGAGGAAACUCUGAUGCAGCGAUGCCGCGUGAGGGAAGAAGGUUUUAGGAUUGUAAACCUCUGUCUUCAGGGACGAAAAAAGACGGUACCUGAGGAGGAAGCUCCGGCUAACUACGUGCCAGCAGCCGCGGUAAUACGUAGGGAGCGAGCGUUGUCCGGAAUUACUGGGUGUAAAGGGAGCGUAGGCGGGAUCGCAAGUCAGAUGUGAAAACUAUGGGCUUAACCCAUAAACUGCAUUUGAAACUGUGGUUCUUGAGUGAAGUAGAGGUAAGCGGAAUUCCUAGUGUAGCGGUGAAAUGCGUAGAUAUUAGGAGGAACACCAGUGGCGAAGGCGGCUUGCUGGACGACAACUGACGCUGAGGCGCGAAAGCGUGGGGAGCAAACAGGAUUAGAUACCCUGGUAGUCCACGCCGUAAACGAUGAUUACUAGGUGUGGGGGGACUGACCCCUUCCGUGCCGCAGCAAACGCAAUAAGUAAUCCACCUGGGGAGUACGACCGCAAGGUUGAAACUCAAAGGAAUUGACGGGGGCCCGCACAAGCAGUGGAGUAUGUGGUUUAAUUCGACGCAACGCGAAGAACCUUACCAAGUCUUGACAUCCUGCGACGCACAUAGAAAUAUGUGUUUCCUUCGGGACGCAGAGACAGGUGGUGCAUGGUUGUCGUCAGCUCGUGUCGUGAGAUGUUGGGUUAAGUCCCGCAACGAGCGCAACCCUUAUUGCCAGUUACUACGUUAAGAGGACUCUGGCGAGACUGCCGUUGACAAAACGGAGGAAGGUGGGGAUGACGUCAAAUCAUCAUGCCCUUUAUGACUUGGGCUACACACGUACUACAAUGGCGUUAAACAAAGAGAAGCAAGACCGCGAGGUGGAGCAAAACUCAGAAACAACGUCCCAGUUCGGACUGCAGGCUGCAACUCGCCUGCACGAAGUCGGAAUUGCUAGUAAUCGCAGAUCAGCAUGCUGCGGUGAAUACGUUCCCGGGCCUUGUACACACCGCCCGUCACACCAUGAGAGCCGGGGGGACCCGAAGUCGGUAGUCUAACCGCAAGGAGGACGCCGCCGAAGGUAAAACUGGUGAUUGGGGUGAAGUCGUAACAAGGUAGCCGUAGGAGAACCUGCGGCUG